UACAGAGGGUGCGAGCGUUGUCCGGAAUCACUGGGCGUAAAGGGCGCGUAGGCGGUUGCCUAAGCGUGUGGUGAAAGCCCGGGGCUCAACCCCGGGUCGGCCAUGCGAACUGGGCGACUGGAGCACGUCAGAGGCAGGCGGGAUUCCGGGUGUAGCGGUGGAAUGCGUAGAGAUCCGGAAGAACACCGGUGGCGAAGGCGGGUCUCUGGGCCGAUACUGACGCUGAGGAGCGAAAGCGUGGGGAGCGAACAGG
rnacentral:rRNA from 1 species